rnacentral:rRNA from 1 species
AACCUACGGAGGCAGCAGUGGGGAAUAUUGCACAAUGGGGGAAACCCUGAUGCAGCGACGCCGCGUGAGUGAAGAAGUAUUUCGGUAUGUAAAGCUCUAUCAGCAGGGAAGAUAAUGACGGUACCUGACUAAGAAGCCACGGCUAACUACGUGCCAGCAGCCGCGGUAAUACGUAGGGGGCAAGCGUUAUCCGGAUUUACUGGGUGUAAAGGGAGCGCAGACGGUGAGACAAGUCUAAAGUGAAAGCCCGG